GUGCAAGCGCAGGCCUCCAAAGGGUUUGGGCUUCUUGCCCAACCGCCGCGCUUAUCUCCGAGUCUGCCCCCAGUCUGCCCUCUCGCAGGCCGAGAAAGGACCAGAACACGUUGGGACGAAGACAACCUCAGGGAGAGGGACAAAGAGGCAGAGACCGGGACGGAGACUGGGACGGAGGUAGAAACUGAGAAAGGGAGAGUGCCAGGGACGGCUUUGCAUCCUCUCCGCUGCUCCCAUGCCCUCCAGUCCUGCCAAAAGGGAGGAGGAAAGGUCGAGCCCUAAUCCCCCAGGGCACCUCUCCCACGCCCGGAAGGGUGGCUGGACCCUGGCAACCAGUUUAGUGUGGGGACGGAAGCUGGACAUCCAGAAUUGAGACUUGGCCUGGGCAACAAGCGCAGAGGCCCAGCAGAGGGGUACCCGUCUGUUUCUCCCCACUUCCAUCCCCAAGGGCCCGGCCUAGGUUCCUUCGAGGGAUGAAGGUCCGCAAGGCACAUCCCUACUUCCAAACCAAGGUUUGGGGCUGCCUUUUUGGGACAGGCGGACGCC
rnacentral:lncRNA from 1 species